rnacentral:rRNA from 1 species
GACGAACGCUGGCGGCGUGCUUAACACAUGCAAGUCGAACGGAAAGGCCCUGCUUUUGUGGGGUGCUCGAGUGGCGAACGGGUGAGUAACACGUGAGUAACCUGCCCUUGACUUUGGGAUAACUUCAGGAAACUGGGGCUAAUACCGGAUAGGAGCUCCUGCUGCAUGGUGGGGGUUGGAAAGUUUCGGCGGUUGGGGAUGGACUCGCGGCUUAUCAGCUUGUUGGUGGGGUAGUGGCUUACCAAGGCUUUGACGGGUAGCCGGCCUGAGAGGGUGACCGGCAAAAUGGGGCCUGGGAUACGGCCAGACUCCUACGGGAGGCAGCAGUGGGGAAUAUUGCACAAUGGGCGGAAGCCUGAUGCAGCAACGCCGCGUGCGGGAUGACGGCCUUCGGGUUGUAAACCGCUUUCGCCUGUGACGAAGCGUGAGUGACGGUAAUGGGUAAAGAAGCACCGGCUAACUACGUG